AAUGGAAGCCAAAAUAUCUUUGGAGGAGACAUGGAGGAACUCUUUUAUAAAAUUCUCAAUGCCUCAUGUAAAUCCUUCCUGUUUUGUUUAUUUAUGUGUUAAAGCUGAGCUAUAACAUGACAGUGCCAAUUAUUAAAGACAAAUAGGGAAGCCAUUGGGUCAUAGUAUCCACGUUUGUGACAGUUAUAAAACUCUUUUGAGACUAGAGAUGGAAAUUGAGCUGAAAGGUCCUUUAAAAAAUCAAAAAUUGGUCUAAUACUCUGCCAGAUAACUGAGUUUCCUAUACUUACCUGUUCAUGAGCUAAGAUACUGCUGAACGAGAUGAGACUGCUGAAACUGACUCCAUCACAGCUCUGCC
rnacentral:lncRNA from 1 species